UACGAAGGGUGCAAACGUUGCUCGGAAUUAUUGGGCGUAAAGCGCACGUAGGCGGCAUUGCAAGUCGGAUGUGAAAUCCCUCGGCUUAACCAAGGAAGUGCAUCCGAAACUGCAGUGCUUGAGUACUUAAGAGGAUCGCGGAAUUCCCGGUGUAGAGGUGAAAUUCGUAGAUAUCGGGAGGAACACCAGUGGCGAAGGCGGCGAUCUGGGAAGAUACUGACGCUGAGGUGCGAAAGCGUGGGGGAGCAAACAGG
rnacentral:rRNA from 1 species